GUCUCCCUUCAAAACUGGCUCCUGGCGCUCAUGCUCACACAUCAUGUGGAAGCAGAGUGCACACCGAGCCACACCAGUUUGCUUUUUUCCUCAAGACCUAAAAAGCCUGCUAUAAAAUAUUACUGGAGAUGGCUAUAGCCUUUUCUGGCACAAUAUGAAGGAGGAGAAGCAUUACUGUACUGAGACCAGCUGGAAGCCCCAACAGGAGGCUGCAUAGACCUAAGUCCAAGAUGUUUUCAGGGUCCUGGGAGAUCAGCAGAUGACCUGAAGAGAGGUGGAAGGGGCUGUUACUAAUGUCCAUAUGGAUGCAAAGGGUGAGCUUGUGACCUUGCACUCAAUGACCAGUACAACCGGAGGGUUCAUCCAGAUUACUCUUCCUGGAUGAAAGAAAAGAAAGGAAAGGAAGAAAAGAA